GAUGAACGCUGGCGGCGUGCUUAACACAUGCAAGUCGAGCGGAGAUGAGGUGCUUGCACCUUAUCUUAGCGGCGGACGGGUGAGUAAUGCUUAGGAAUCUGCCUAUUAGUGGGGGACAACAUUCCGAAAGGAAUGCUAAUACCGCAUACGUCCUACGGGAGAAAGCAGGGGAUCUUCGGACCUUACGCUAAUAGAUGAGCCUAAGUCGGAUUAGCUAGUUGGUGGGGUAAAGGCCUACCAAGGCGACGAUCUGUAGCGGGUCUGAGAGGAUGACGCGCCACACUGGGACUGGGACACGGCCCAGACUCCCACGGGAGGCAGCAGUGGGGAAUAUUGGACAAUGGGGGGAACCCUGAUCCAGCCAUGCCGCGUGUGUGAAGAAGGCCUUAUGGUUGUAAAGCACUUUAAGCGAGGAGGAGGCUACUGAGACUAAUACUCUUGGAUAGUGGACGUUACUCGCAGAAUAAGCACCGGCUAACUCUGUGCCAGCCGCCGCAGUAAUAC
rnacentral:rRNA from 1 species